rnacentral:pre_miRNA from 1 species
UUUUGCUAGAAAACGAUUAUAUUGUCCUGUCACAGCAGUACUUUUCCUUAGCUUACUGUUGUUUCGGGACAUUUACAUUGAUUCUAGCCGUCAC